rnacentral:lncRNA from 1 species
GGGGGAAAUGUUGACACGGGUGUGAGUAAUGGGAGUCUCUUUUCUUUUCUUCUCCUUCAAGAACAAGCCAGUACAAGUGAAUCUGGAAAAGGGGAGGGGACUCGCGAGGGGGAGAAGAUACUUACGCGGUGCGGAGAGCAGUGGGACCGAGCCUUUUUUUGCAGGCGGAGAGAGGAAAACCCGCGCGCGCACACACACGAUGGCAAACCUUUCCUACAGAAGCCGCCCAUCUGACCAACAAAACCACAGGACAAAAAGUUCUAUUCAAGGAGGGAACAAUAAGAAGGCAAAAAAGGUCAACAUUCCUAGGUUGGAAACCACAUCUGCCUUGUUGGCCGAGGUAUGCCCAGCGCUGGCCAGAGGACGCAUGCUUUGUGAAUCUCUGUGGAGUACAGGAGGGACUGUGGAGGGCAAGGAACUUAUUCAGGGUAGAUUUUCACUCCCCCUGAAGAAACGAAAUGAAAGCAAACUUUGGUGGUUUUUGUUUAAC